ACACUUUAGAUUUCAGUAACUACCAAUUGCUAAAAGUAUUCAAUAUGAUAUGCGAGACUUCAGAUUCUAGUCUUCUUGCUUCUUCUUCUUCUUCUACUUACUAAUACUAAGCUUUGCUUUUUGUGUCAAAGUUCAUGGAAGUUACUGUCCCUCCUCUCGAAUCAGAUUCGUGGGCUCACUUAGAAAAUACCUAGGAAGCUCAUAUCUAGCACCUGCAUUGAGUAAGUAUAAGCCAGUAAGUAACUUAAACAAUAAACGAGAGAAACGAAUUAGAUCAUAAGUAGAUUAUGUUUGAUUGUCAGCCUCCUCGAAUCUUUUGAA